rnacentral:lncRNA from 1 species
GAAGGUGCACAGGCAGAUGUUCUAUUGAUUCAAAAAAACCCAAGAGGAAAUAUAUGUUCUAACUUGCCCAAGAUUUGUGGAAUAUCUCCCCGUAAUCUCCCCAUAUCAUCCACUCGGAGAGUAGUCGAUGUGAGAUCUAUAAAGAAUAAGCUCAAUUCUAUAAGUACCUACCAUACAUUACUUGGAAGUAGUUCACAAAAAUCAAUAGGCAUCAAUCGUUG